GGGCGCUUAGCUCAGCUGGUUAGAGCGCAAAAUUGACGUUUUUGAGGUCGGGGGUUCGACUCCCUCAGCGCCCA
rnacentral:tRNA from 1 species